UGAGUGUCUGAAGUUCAUCAUGCCACAUUUCCCAGUGUAAAGAAGUUCAGAACUAAAUGGAAUGAUUUAAAUUCUUGACUUAAGGAGACCAGCAGCUUUGAUAAUGCUGCCAAAUUAUCCUCACAGUAUCAGAAAGAAAAAAUUGACCUAAAGACUUGCGCUGUAAGAAUUAAAACAGCAGAAGCAGAAGCUACCCUCACCUCCCCAUCACUCGUCUGCCCUGAAGCAGGACAUAAGACCCUCAUUUGAGAGGUGCCCUUCCUUAUCUCUGAAGAUAAAGGAACAUUCUUAUCUCUGAAGACAUAGGAACAUCGAGAAGAAUGGAGUAUGCUUAUCUAUGAAGACAUGGGAACACCGAGAAGAAGGGAGUGUGCUUAUCUCUGAAGACAUGAGAACACAGAGAAGAAUCUGAACAAACAGGGCUUGCUAAGUUCCCUGCAGUUUAUUGGCAUUAGAUUAUACAAUUUUGUCCUCCCUUUGUAUUUCUCUAUGACUGUCCAUGAUUCAUCAAACCUAAACAUAAUAAUAUACAAGUCUACGUGUUUCUUUGGGUCUUCAUUUCCAAAGCCUCCCAUGUUCAUAAAUAUAUUAAAUAAAUGUAUAUG
rnacentral:sRNA from 1 species